rnacentral:lncRNA from 1 species
GCGGAACCUCGGCGCAGCGCGCGAACUCCGGAUCGCGGCGGCUGCGGCGGCUGCGGCGGAAGCAUGAACCUAGACCGUGAACUUCGCCGUGAGUCUCUUGGGGCCCAAGUACGGGAGCGCGGGGCGGGGAGUUGGUCUCCGCUCAUCUCCCCGCCCUUCUUCCUCCCGGUAGAGCUGAGCAAGGCCAAGGCCAGGGCCCAGAAGAACGGGCAGCUGCACGAGGAGGCGGCCUUCUGCCAUCAGCUGGGGGAGCUGCUGGCCAGCCAUGGUGAGCGCACGCGCGGGCAGGCGGCUGGGAACUCUGCUCUUCCCCGCGGCCACCAAAGCGCCAGUAACCCGCCUGGCCCGGUGACCCGCGCCAUGCCCUUAUGCAGGCCGCUAUGCUGAAGCCCUGGAGGAGCACCAGCAGGAGCUGCGGCUCCUGGAGAGCGCCCUGGACACCCUAGGCUGUGCGGUGGCUCACCGCAAGAUCGGAGAGCGCUUGGCUGAGAUGGAGGACUACUCCGCUGCCCUACAGGUGCGCACCCAGCGCGGCGGCCUGCGCUUAUGGGGCUGCUGUCUGAGGAAGGAGGCCCCACUUGGGAGUUUCAGAGUAGAGGGACUGGUAGGCAGCCACACAUUCUGGGCCUGCCAGGGACGCAGCCUGGUUCAGGGGUCAGCGCACCGCGGCCUUCCCUGGGACCAGGCAGUAGUGAAUUCCUGGCAACAGAAACUGUUAAGGAACUAUUACUUCUGCCCAGUUUUUUGGGAAGAGGGAGCGGGACCGACUGUUGCUGGAGGUGGUGGCAACACCCCAGCCAACUUCCAAGUCAUCUAUGUUAUGAGCAGCUAUUACCACAGACAGCCUCUGGCGCUAAGUAGAUGAGGCAUGUGUGGAUGGCACUGCAGGGCUUUUGGAGAACAGAGGCUCUCCUGGGUGAGAGUGGCUUCCCCUGGGGUUGGGACUUAUGGGUUUGCUUAAGGUGCAAUCAGCUCAGCUGCUUUUUCCCUCCACCAGCACCAGCACCGUCACCUGGAGCUGGCAGAUUCCCUGUCCAAUCACACAGAGCUGCAGAGGGCAUGGGCCACCAUUGGCCGCACCCACCUGGACAUCUAUGACCACUGCCAGUCGAGGGAUGACUUGCUACAGGCACAGGCUGCCUUUGAGAAGAGCUUGGCUAUUAUAGAUGAGAAGCUGGAGGGUGGGUGCCCUCACCUAACUCCCGUGACACACCACCCAGGUCCCUUUUCCAAAACUCCUGCAUGACAGUCUAUAGGGCCUUUGCUGCCUGCAAUCUAGAUUCUGGCAGGCAUCUGGUUUUUGUUCCCUUUAUGCUUUGCCUGUAGCAAGACCUUUGUUCCCACAGUUGGUGUGGGGGAGCAUGUGGGGGAGGAAGCAGCUCAGUAUCUUGGGGGGGGGUCAUCUUCCAGGGACCCUGUCCCAGCGAGAGCUGAGUGAGAUGAGGACUCGACUCUACCUCAACCUGGGUCUUACUUUUGAGAGCCUGCAGCAGACAGCCCUGUGCAAUGACUACUUCAAGAAAAGCAUCUUUCUCGCUGAGUGAGGCUCUAUCCCCACCCCAGGAGGGAGCAGGGCCCCAAGGUCUUCCAGAGAGGGCAGUCUGGUCAGGCUAUUGCUCUUCCAUGGGCAGAGAAGCCGGUCAUCUGUGCAGAGAGUUGGGGAGGAGUAGGUUCAGGUCCCAAGCUCACAGCAUGGCAGAGCUGUAAUCCCUGUGGCGUCAGUAACCAUAACUAGCUCAGUAAUCUUUGCACCUCAGGGGUAUCUUAAGUACGUUGCUGUCCUCUGUCCACUGUUAUAGAUCAGGGGAGGGUCCUGGGCACUUUGAGCACUUGUUACCUCGCCCUCUGCAGGCAGAACCACCUCUAUGAGGACCUGUUCCGUGCCCGCUAUAACCUGGGUGCCAUCUACUGUCGGGAAGGGAAGCACUCUCAGGCCAUGCGCUGCUUGGAGGGGGCCCGGGAAUGUGCACGUGCCAUGAAGAAGCGGUUCAUGGAGAGCGAGUGCUGUGUGAUGGUCUCCCAGGUGCUGCCCUCUAGGCUCAGCCCCCUCUGGAUGGGCUUGGUCCCUAGGGAGUCAGCACCUCACUUUCUUUUUCUCCAUAGGUCCUCCAAGAUCUGGGGGAUUUUUUAGCUGCCAAACGUGCCCUGAAGAAGGCCUACAGGCUGGGUUCCCAGAAACCUGUACAGAGGGCAGCUAUCUGCCAGAGCCUCAAGUAUGGUAAGGCUGGACAGGGCCUGAGGGUGAACCCCAAAAGAGUUGGGAGGGCUCUGCUCCUCCAGCAGAGGAGGCCCAAGUAUGUGUCAACUUUAUCUGGGCCUCUCCCAGCAAGAGGAAUAGGUCCCUGUUGACUCAGACAAACCCUCAUUUUCGUCUGAGCCUGUAGCACAACAUGUCAAAGGGCAUUGCAGGGUGGUUGGGGGACUGGCCAAGCCUUUAUUCACAAGGCAGUAUCUUCACUGACAAGCUGACAGGUGACAUGUGUGUGACUCUAUACUGAUCAUAGUGAUGGUCAGUGCUGAUUGACAAUGAUGAGCCCUUGCUGCAAGCCAGGCACUAUUACAGACUGUAAGCUUAUUUGUUCUGAUUUUGAAGGACCCACAUGGUAGAUUCUUCUACCCUCUCUUAUCUGCUGGCCGGUGGUGGGACUGGGGUCAGUGUCGAAUGCUAUGCUGCCCCCUUGCAUGAGACUCUUUCUGGCAGUGCUAGCAGUGAUCAGGCUGCAACAGCAGCUGGAGGAGUCUGAGAGCAGUGACCCUCAGGGUGCCAUGGCCAUCUGUGAGCAGCUGGGGGACCUGUUCUCUAAGGCGGCUGACUUCCCCAAGGCUAUUGAGGCUUAUCAGAACCAGGUGUGUGGCCCCUGUGGGGUGGGAGAAAAGAGCCAGCAAGGUACAGAGUGGACCUGGGGCUUACUGUGCCUCUCUCCAGCUGCACUUUGCUGAGCGACUGAAUAGACCAGACCUCGAGCUGGCCACCAUCCACGUGUCCCUGGCCGCCACACGGGCAGACAUGAAGGACUAUCGCCAGGCAGUAUACCACUAUGAAGAAGAACUCAGGCUGCGCAAUGGCAAUGCUCUGGAGGUGAUGUGCCCUGUUCCCUCCUCAGUGUAGGUUUGUCCUCAGGACUCUGCCUUAGGACCACCAUUCUCUAGUGCGCAUAGAUGGGUGCCUCUCUGGACAGGACUUCCUUCUGAGAAUCGUUGAGCUCCAUUUUUUGGAGAUGGGGUAGAACCCAGGCAGAUAUUCCUGUUGUGUGUAGGCACCUGGGGAAGCCAGCCUAUGGAUGUCGUGGGCAGCAGCCAUCAGCUCAUUCUUCCUCCACUCCAGGAGGCCAAUACCUGGUUCAACAUUGCACUCUCCCGCGAGGAGGCUGGUGAUGCAUAUGAGCUUCUGGCUCCAUGCUUCCAGAAGGCUCUUAACUGUGCCCAGCAGGCCCAGCGGCCCCAGUUGCAGGUACCUGAGCCUGCCCCACCUUUACUGGGUCCCCAGCAAGCCCAACUUGCCUGUCCCUCUUAUCUCAUGCCCCCUUUCUCCCCACCCCACCCCCAGCCUUGAGCAAGAAGAUGUCCUCUUUCUCCUCAGAAGCAGGUGUUGCAGCACCUCCACACUGUGCAGCUGAGGCUACAGCCCCAAGAAGCUCCUGGCACCGAAACCAGACUGCAAGAGCUGAGUGCGGCUGAAGAACUGGUGGAAGAGGAGGAGGAGGAGGCGAUGGAAGAGGCGGCAGCUAGCGUGGCCCUAGAGGCCAGUGAGCUAGAGCUCUCAGAGAGUGGUGAGGGCAGUGUGGCUGCAGCUGGCCUUGUCCCUGACUCUUGCUCUGGAUUAGGUCCUGGAUUGGUACUUUGCCUACACAGAGCCUGCUCAGGACUCACUAGCAGUCAGGCAGGCAGCCCUUGCUUUUGUGGAGGUGGACAAAGGGCUGGAAGCCUACAGGGAGGCUCUACAGGGCCAGAGCCUGGGGAGAUAGUCCAGUAGAGGCCUGUGUUGCACAUCUAGGCAGGGUGAGGUAGGGUGCAUCUCAGGGCCUUGCUGCUUCAUGCCAGAGCGAAGCACAUUCCUGGAACCCUCCAGAGGCUGGUGUGGUCAGCUGUGCAGAGGGUGGGUGUGAAGGACUGACUAGAGCAGAUCGGAAAGACUGACUUGAAAACUUCAGGGGCCUCUAGGACCACAAGUGAGUAACCCAGCAGCCAUGGGAAGUUGGGCCAGGUCUUAGAGGAAGGUCAGGUUGGACAUUGCUGGUGUGUGAGCGGUGUGGGAAGAGGUGACCAAGGACUAAAACAUAAGGGAGAACCAUUCAACAGGUAGGCAACAGAAGAUAGUGUAGAAAGAGCAGUGGCAGCAGGGAAGGAACACAAGAGAAUCUUUGAGUAUCACCAGGACCAGGAGUGGGUGGAAAGUGAGAACAGGCAGGGUACACGGCCUAACAAAGAUAUUUGAGAGGGUGGCAGAAGGUCUGGAUGGAGACUGCCCUGUAGAGCAGAGCCUGGGGGCAGGGGUGAGUGGACAGUUCCACUGAGGGAGGGCUGCAUCCCCUGUUGGCAGAGGAAUAAUGGGGCCUUGGCAGGUGAGGGGUAGCCUAGGAGCAGGGUUUGGCCCCACAGGUCUGAAUUCUGCUCUCCUGCUUAUGGCUGCUGCUGCCUCAGAGGUCAGAGGAGCCUGGGCAGGGCAGGGGUAUGUUUCUACUGCUGGCUUCUCACAGGCUCAGUCAGUUGGCUCAACUCUUCCAGAGGAUGAUGCUGACAGCCUGGCCUGGCAGCUGGAGGAGGAUGAGGAGUUUCAGGGUUGCCUAGGCCGGCGGAAGGUGAACAGGGUAAGGACCAUGUGCCCCAGUCCCUCCUGUCCUGGCAGCCGUACCCAUCCCUCACACCUCUGCCCCAAGUCAAGGCUACUCUGCCCACAGUGGAACCGUCGCAAUGAUAUGGGGGAGACCCUGCUGCACCGAGCCUGCAUUGAGGGCCAUUUGCGCCGUGUCCAGGACCUUGUGAGGCAGGUAAGCUAUCACGCCAACAGACUGCUUGACCCUAGCUCCAUUAGGGAGGAGCUAUGGGCAUAUUUAGAAUGGGCCCUAAGAUGCCAAGCAGAAUCUGGAUUGGCCUGGCCAGGAUGGGGACUGUUUUACAGACCAGAACCCUGGUGCCCUCCCUCCUACCUCAGGCCCUUCAGCUAGGCACUGUGCCUGCCCCAGGGCACCAAGUGACAUAGGCUAGAGGGUGUGCUGUGGCUGCUCAGCCAGCCUUAUUGGGCAGAAGUGGUACCCCCAUUGAGGAGACCUCAGGCAGUGGAGGAGAGGGCCAGAGCCAGGCUGCAAAGCACACAGGGCCAGGCUCCUUCCUGUCCUUGGUCACAGGGCCACCCCCUGAAUCCUCGGGACUACUGUGGCUGGACACCUCUACAUGAAGCCUGCAACUUUGGACACCUGGGUGAGCAGGGGAUGGGCAAGUCCUGGUGCACAACACGGGGUUUAGAGAGCGGGGAGGGGCUGAGCAGACAUUGGGAGCUGGGCUUAUGUCCCUACCUGCAGAGAUCGUCCGCUUCCUGCUGGACCAUGGGGCUGCAGUGGAUGAUCCAGGUGGCCAGGGGUGUGAGGGCAUUACCCCUCUACAUGACGCCCUUACCUGUGGCCACUUUGAGGUGGCUGAGCUGCUUAUUGAGCGAGGGGCAUCUGUCACCCUCCGAACCAGGAAGGUGAGCUGGAGUAGUGGUGGUGGGUGGGAGGGUGGGUGGGAGCUGCUCUGUUCCCUGCUCAUCUGGGUGCUACACAGGGCCAUAGCCCACUGGAGACACUGCAGCAGUGGGUGAAGUUGUACUGCAGGGACCUAGACCUUGAGACGCGACAGAAGGCAGCAGCCAUGGAGAGGAGGCUCCAGGCGGCUUCUUCAGGCUCAGGCAAGUGGGGCCUUCUUCACCUGCGGAAUUGCCCUGGGCUCUGGGCCCUGACUAACACUCCAGCAUAGGGGGCAGAGAGAGAGUCUGGUAACUGUCUCAUGAUGCAUUCUCCCUCCUACAGCCUCCCCAGCCUCCUGGACCAUCCCAAGUAACCACCUGUUUGAUCCUGAGACCUCUCCUCCCUCAAGCCCCUGCCCAGAACCCCCUUGGCACACUCCUAGGUCCUCAGAGGCCUCUCUAGCCUGCACCAGGGUUUCCCCACAGCAGGCUGCAUCAGUUGUGGCAAGGCCUCGAAGGAGCAGGCAUAGGUUGGCCAGCAGCAGCAGCUCAGAGGGGGAGGACAGUGCUGGGCCCCAAAUGCCAUCCCAGAAGAGGCCAAGGUGCUUUGCCCCAGCACAACGGGAUGAGGCCAGGACAGCUUGCCCUGCCAGCAUCAGGGAGGCGAGUACAGUGAGUGCUGGCCAGGCAGCCUAUCAGGCAGCCAUCCGAGGUGUGGGCAGUGCCCAGAGCCGCUGCCUCAGGCAGGGCCCUUGGGGCCCAGGUGAAGCCCCUACACCCCAGACAGCACUCAUUCCGGAGGAGGAAUACCUGGCUGGAGACUGGCUGGAAUUGGACACACCCCUGCCCCGCAGCCGCCCAUUCCGCCUGCCCCGCCCCCAGGGCAGUGGGGACAGCAACAGGCCCAGUACUGUAGGGCCAGACGAUGAGGAACACCCUGCCAGGCCCCGAACCCGGACCAGGCAGAGCCGCCUGACCUGUCUUGAGAGUUGCAGCACACUGGACAGAGCUGGAGGCAGCAGCUUGGCUGCAGAGCUCUCAGAGAAUCCCAAUGUGCUCAGGGUCCCUGGGGAAAGCCCUGCAACAGGCCAGCCCUCGGUGGGUGACAAGCUGGUAGCAGAGCUAACCCCCAGCUUGGGCAGGUGGAGAUGGAGGCCUCUGUCUUUCCUGACUGCCCUGUCCCCUGUUCCUCCUAUCAGGGUCUAGUACAGCCUCCUCCCAUCCGGAUUCGAGUUCAAGUUCAGGAUAACCUUUUCCUUGUCCCUGUCCCACACAGGUAUGGUGACAUCUACCCUCUCUGAACCCCAGUCCCCCCUGCCCACCAUGCAGCCCCUUGCCUGAACCCUCAGUGGUAGCACCGUACACAGUUCCUUUGUGAUGACUGCCUCGGUGGCGUGUCCCUACUGUUCCCUAGGGUCCCUGAGUGAAUGUGGCCUGGGCAGUCCUAUAGUCCCUAGGAGUCGUCUGAGGAGCAGGCUGCAGGGACAGAAGGCUGCUGUUCAGGGGAGGGGUGGGAAAGCCACCAGGAGAGAGGGCUGCAGGCCUCAGCAGUGUUGGCAGAGCCCUAGGCCACCUCCUGGAUGCAGCAGCCCACCCUCCCCCAACAGUGAGGCCCACUCUGUGGCUUGGCUGGCUGAGCAGGCCUCCCAGCGAUACUACCAGACCUGUGGGCUCCUGCCCAGACUCAGCCUGCGGAAGGAGGGCGCGUUGCUGGCCCCGCAGGACUCCAUCCCUGAUGUGCUGCAGAGCAACGAUGAGGUAAGCCACAGCCGUGGGCACAGACCACCCCCAGGAGCUGCCUCUCCAGGCUGCUCACCAAUGGAGCUCACCAACGGUGCUCUUCAGGUGUUGGCUGAAGUGACUUCAUGGGACCUGCCCCCACUUAUCGACCGCUACCGCAGGGCCUGCCAGAGCCUGGGACAAGGUAAGGGCUCCAAGAGCCUGGCUUUAGGUGAAGCCCUGAGCAGAGGUGUUUGGUAUGCAGGCCCCAUCUUCCAGUUGCCAUUUCCAGUUCUGUGGUGCACCCUUCCCUGCCUAACCCUUGCCCCCACGAGUGGGUGACAGGUGGGGGCAGACAACCCUGAGCUGAGGAACGGAGCUGCCAGGAACCUUGUUGGGGGAUGGAGAUGUGAGAGUGGCCCACCUAUGCAGAUACUCAUGGCACUGAAUCCCAGGCUUGUAGGAAUAGACUCAGCUUUAACUCCUGGGGCUGCCUGGUUUGUCCACAGAACUCCAAAGGCAAGAUGUAGGCACUGGCCCUAGUAACCCCAUGUCUCCCUCAUCAGGGGAACACCAACAGGUGCUGCAGGCCAUGGAGCACCAGGGCUCAAGCCCCUCCUUCAGUGCCUGCUCCCUGGCCCUGAGCCAGGCCCAGCUCACACCCCUGCUUCGAGCCCUCAAGCUACACACAACGCUCCGGGAGCUGCACCUGGCAGGGAAUCGGCUCGGGGAUGGAUGUGCCAGUGAGCUGCUGGCUGCUCUGAGCACCAUGCCCAGCCUGGUCCUCCUUGAUCUUUCGUCUAAUCACCUGGGCCAGGAAAGUCUACGCCAACUUGCCGGGGGCCCUCAAGGCCAGGCCACCUUGCAGGUAGAGCCUAGGGUGCAGCAGGCCAGCAACUCUAGUAACAGGUUGCAACAGCUGGGAGAACUGGCCAAUGCCCAGCCGGGAACAGGGAUCCUGCAAGGAGACUAGACCUGAGGGGACUGGGCCCAUGGAUGUCAAGGGGCUCAGUGCUCACCAUGUUUUCCACAGAACUUGGAAGAGCUGGACUUAAGCAUGAACCCUCUAGGAGACAGUUGUGGUCAGGCCCUGGCUUCCCUCCUGCGGGCCUGCCCCUUACUCAGCACUCUGCGCCUGAAGGCUUGUGGCUUUGGUCCCAGCCUCUUCCUGAGCCACCAGGCAGCCCUGGGCAGUGCCUUCCAAGGUGAGCUGACCAGGCAGGUCUAAUCCCUGAGCCAGGUGUGGAGGCAUUAAGGGUCUUGGGCAUAAGGACCAAGAUGGGAUUUGCUUGGGAUUUCAAGCCUGGCUUCUUCAGGAGGAGCUAACUCCUCUGAACGCACAGGUAGACGUGUGAGUGCUGGACCUGUCUGGGCUGUGCUCCCAGACCACAGCACACUACAGGCAGGAUCCCAGGCAGGCCAUCUCUGCCCUGAACCCCACCACAUGCCUAUGGCUAGAGCCUUCUGCGUGCCUCAGUUCUGCCAUGAGCAUAACUGGCAGCCCUAGUGCCAAGAGGCUGGGAAUAGAGCCACCUAGGGAUCCCUGGGGCAGGGGCUAUGUUGGGCAACAGUGGUGUGAGUUCCUCCUGAUCCCCCCACAGAUAUGCUGGCCCAGGGCCCAUCUCCAGCAGCCAGGGAUUGGUGGGUGGGGAAGGCUGGGCUCAAGAGAACUUGGGCAAGAGCCGUUGCCAAUAAACCUGUUUCCCCCACAAAAUUAAUGGAGAAGAGCCUCUCCAAAAGGGGUCAUAAGUGUUCUAGGCCCAGAACUCAGGGUGGAGGGUGGGUAGGAUGGUGGCCACAUGAGGCCUACAAAUUCUGGUCCUGGUACAGAUGCUGAGCGCUUGAAGACCCUGUCCUUAUCCUACAAUGCCCUGGGUGCCAUUGCCCUGACCAAGGCCCUGCAAAGCCUGCCCACCUGUACUCUUUUGCACCUAGAACUUGGCUCCGUGGCAACCAGCAAGAGUGACUUGGGCUUCAUGGAGCCCAUUGUCAGGUACCUGGCCAAGGUAUGAGGUGGACAAAAGCCAGAACAUGAGGCUUCAGAGACCAAAGGUUCCCAUAGCUGUGACCUUUGGGAGGUUGGAGGGAUUGAUUUGGGACAACAGCUGCAGGACACCUGUAUAGACACCUGCCUCAGGCUAUGAAUUCCUGGCCACCAUAAAGGACAUCUGGGAUUUGGGAUGGCCUCUCUACCCCAAACAGUUCCCAAGGAACACACCAAGCCCCUGUGUUUUCUCCCAGGGACUUUUCCAGCUGGGGCCGAGUCCUUGUGGUUUUCACAUCACAAGGAGCCAAGCAUGACUUACACCAGGAAGGAGAAGAAUUUUCUUCUCACUUCCAAGUUCAGGGGCUUCCUGGGUGUGGGGACCUCUGCCAGGACGGAGGGAGGACCAGUGCCCACUGGGCUUGGCUCCCUCCCUGUGCUUAUGUCCAGGAAGACUGUGCUCUGGUCCACCUGACCCUGUCUGCAAAUUACCUGAAUGACAAAGCUGUGAGAGAACUAAGCAGGUGAUGCCCCUGCCCUGUUGCCUGUUGGGGGUCUCAGCCUGAAGACCUGGGACCCUGUUCCUCUGACAUUCACCCUGUCUUUAGGGCUGGCCUGGCAAGCAUGCUAAAGGUUUUUUUUUUUUUUUUUUUUUUUUACCAUACUCUUGUGACUCUUGAGAGCUUUCCUUCUUAUAUGGCCUUUCUUGGCACACCUCUGUGCAUCAGUCCAUGUCCCUGGAGACUUGGCUGGCUCUAAGGGGAGCGACAAGAGGUGUGCGAGUUUGGCAGUCUCGACCUCUAGGUAGUGCUGCCAACCUUCCCUAUGCUGUGUUGGGCCACAGCCUGCUGGGCCUGGCCUAUGGCUCCCAAAGCUAGGGUUUGUAGGGCAACUUUCCCUAGAGAUUGAGUGAGGGCUUCUGUGGAAGCUAAUCCCUGAACUUCCCACACUGUAUCAGGUGCCUGCCUCUCUGCCGCUCACUCAUCUCUCUGGACCUGUCUGCCAACCCUGAAAUCAGCUGUGCCAGCCUGCAGGAGCUCCUGUCUGCCCUCCAGCAGAGGCCCCAAGGCCUCCACUUCCUUGGCCUUUCAGGUGAGGGCUGAGUAUGGUGGCCACCUCUGCCACGCUUUCACAGGCUGAGGCUCAGGGAACUUCUCCUAAGAAGCCAGUAUGAUGAAAGACAGUGUGGAGCAUGACAAGAAAGGGACAGGGGAGACUGGGGUCUUCGCCUCUGCCCAAUCCAGCCUAACCCUCAAGUGUAGACAAUAACAGAAAGGCUCCUCAUCCACAGGGAUCUCCUCAUUCUUGAUGGCAGGAAGAGGAAACCCAGGGUCCAGGUUCAGUGCCACAAUGGGACCCGCCCACCUUCUGGCAGGGGUUGCUUUGACCCUCUCUGUCCUGGCUGUGACAAUGUAGCUUAUUCUGCAACACCAGGGCAGCCCCCACCUGUGUUGUCUGAAGGACAACUCCAAAAGAGGGGCAUUUGGUGAACUGGCCCACCAGCAGCCUGGCAUCCCUAGCUGAGGCCUGGGCAGAAAGGCAGGCUUUGCCCUUCAGGGGACAUAGGCUUGUGCACAAGGGAACCCCUGAGUUCUUCCUGGGCUUUUCACUUCCUGCUUCCACACCUGGCUGGAUUCCUGGCACCUGCGACAUCACGCAGCUUCCCCAGGUUCUGAGGCUACUGGGCUUUCUGGCCAGAGGACCAAGCUCUGAGCCCUCAGGCCCACGACAUAGAGCUCUCCUAAAAAUUCAUUCUAUGGGUGGGUGGGCCAAAGUGUAGGCAUGCUGUACAGUCGGGGUGGGGGUGGGGGUGGCGUCCACCAGUGGGCCCAUCUGCCUGACCAUGGGCCAGGCACGGCUCCUUCCCGCGAUGAAGCAGGACUUUUUUGCCCUCCAGGCUGCACUGUCCAGGGUCCCCUGGGCCCGGGUCUCUGGGACAAAAUCACCAUGCAGCUGCGGGAGCUCCAACUAUGUAGCAGAGGCCUGUGUGCCGAGGACCACGAUGCCCUGCGCCAGCGGCUGCAGAGUCCCAGCUCAUGCACUCUGACCCGGGGCCCCCAGCUCUUCUUCCGGGACUUCUGACCCUGCCCGUCCCCUGCCCAGAAGCCUCAAUAAACGUCUUUGCUG